CAAACUGGAGAUGGCGACCGGCGCACGGGUGAGUAACACGUAUCCAACCUGCCGAUAACUCGGGGAUAGCCUUUCGAAAGAAAGAUUAAUACCCGAUAGCAUAUAUUUCCCGCAUGGGUUUUAUAUUAAAGAAAUUCGGUAUGAGAUGGGGAUGCGUUCCAUUAGUUUGUUGGGGGGGUAACGGCCCACCAAGACUACGAUGGAUAGGGGUUCUGAGAGGAAGGUCCCCCACACUGGUACUGAGACACGGACCAG
rnacentral:rRNA from 1 species